rnacentral:lncRNA from 1 species
GUUGUGAUUGAUUCUCAGUGGCGAUUGCGGUGGAUCUGACGACGAUGGUCGUUUGAUGGCGGCGUGAUGAGCUAAGCACCGGAUCUACGGUUUCUGUAAAGAGACCUCCUCUUAUUAUUGAUUUGAUGAUGGUUGGUUUGAAUUUUUUUUUUAGAAAAAAAUUGUGUUGUGUUAGGAAGAGAGUUUGACUGAUAUGUUGCAGGCUUGGUUUGUUUAUGAUGACCUCAUGUUAAUGGGGAGUUUGAAGUGUAUGAAGAGAAGGAUGAAGUUGGAGUAAGGAACAUGGUUAUGGAUUAUGUUUAUAGAUUAUGAAUUAUUGGGAUUGUUAGUUGUCCCCCUUGUGCUGUAAGAAUGUGUACUAUUUAUAUACAAAAAUUUGGUUUAAAAUUAAUUAUAAAAUUCAAUCAAUUAAUGAAUACCAAUAUUAAUGCUAAUGAUUUCUAACCAUUAUAUGCAACUCAAUGAUUUUGUGCAACAAAAAGAAAUAUUUGAAUUUUAAUGAUCUUUAAAAAAAUAAUUAUCAAAAUAAGGUAAAACAUAAAA